rnacentral:rRNA from 1 species
CUACAGGCUUAACACAUGCAAGUCGAGGGGCAGCAUGGUCUUAUCUUGCUAAGGCCGAUGGCGACCGGCGCACGGGUGAGUAACACGUAUCCAACCUGCCGUCUACUCUUGGACAGCCUUCUGAAAGGAAGAUUAAUACAAGAUGGCAUCAUGAGUCCGCAUGUUCACAUGAUUAAAGGUAUUCCGGUAGACGAUGGGGAUGCGUUCCAUUAGAUAGUAGGCGGGGUAACGGCCCACCUAGUCUUCGAUGGAUAGGGGUUCUGAGAGGAAGGUCCCCCACAUUGGAACUGAGACACGGUCCAAACUCCUACGGGAGGCAGCAGUGAGGAAUAUUGGUCAAUGGGCGAGAGCCUGAACCAGCCAAGUAGCGUGAAGGAUGACUGCCCUAUGGGUUGUAAACUUCUUUUAUAAAGGAAUAAAGUCGGGUAUGGAUACCCGUUUGCAUGUACUUUAUGAAUAAGGAUCGGCUAACUCCGUGCCAGCAGCCGCGGUAAUACGGAGGAUCCGAGCGUUAUCCGGAUUUAUUGGGUUUAAAGGGAGCGUAGAUGGAUGUUUAAGUCAGUUGUGAAAGUUUGCGGCUCAACCGUAAAAUUGCAGUUGAUACUGGAUAUCUUGAGUGCAGUUGAGGCAGGCGGAAUUCGUGGUGUAGCGGUGAAAUGCUUAGAUAUCACGAAGAACUCCGAUUGCGAAGGCAGCCUGCUAAGCUGCAACUGACAUUGAGGCUCGAAAGUGUGGGUAUCAAACAGGAUUAGAUACCCUGGUAGUCCACACGGUAAACGAUGAAUACUCGCUGUUUGCGAUAUACUGCAAGCGGCCAAGCGAAAGCGUUAAGUAUUCCACCUGGGGAGUACGCCGGCAACGGUGAAACUCAAAGGAAUUGACGGGGGCCCGCACAAGCGGAGGAACAUGUGGUUUAAUUCGAUGAUACGCGAGGAACCUUACCCGGGCUUAAAUUGCAGAUGAAUUACGGUGAAAGCCGUAAGCCGCAAGGCAUCUGUGAAGGUGCUGCAUGGUUGUCGUCAGCUCGUGCCGUGAGGUGUCGGCUUAAGUGCCAUAACGAGCGCAACCCUUGUUGUCAGUUACUAACAGGUUCCGCUGAGGACUCUGACAAGACUGCCAUCGUAAGAUGUGAGGAAGGUGGGGAUGACGUCAAAUCAGCACGGCCCUUACGUCCGGGGCUACACACGUGUUACAAUGGGGGGUACAGAGGGCCGCUACCACGCGAGUGGAUGCCAAUCCCCAAAACCUCUCUCAGUUCGGACUGGAGUCUGCAACCCGACUCCACGAAGCUGGAUUCGCUAGUAAUCGCGCAUCAGCCACGGCGCGGUGAAUACGUUCCCGGGCCUUGUACACACCGCCCGUCAAGCCAUGGGAGCCGGGGGUACCUGAAGUGCGUAACCGCGAGGAGCGCCCUAGGGUAAAACUGGUGACUGGGGCUAA